UAACAGUUGGUUGAAUAAGCUCGAUGACGCCCGAAUAACUAAGUUAAAAAAAGCAGCGGGCGCGUAAAUUGCCCAGUCCCAGUAAUAGAGGACUUGUAAUUUUGAAGGAGUGCACUUUAAAUCCUUUAGCAAGCAGCUGUAUUGGGAGGUAAGUCUAGUGCCAGCAGCCGCGGUAACUCCAGCUUCAAUAGCGUGUAUUCAAGUUGUUGCGCUUAAAAUGUUCGCAGUUGAGCUUGCGCUUCAUACGCGCAGUACAGCUACAAUUGCGUGUGUAAGUGUGUGAUCGGUGAAGUUUUUAUAUGCAAGUGCAAAACUUGCACUCUUUGCAUAUUCCCCCCAUUUUGGAAAAAAAAAACAAAAACAAAAAAAAGGUUUUGUUUUCUUAAACUUACUGCGGUGGUGUUGCCUUUCAAGGCAACUCGGAAGAAAUUAAUUUUUGCGGUAUGAGUUUUCACCCGAUACAAUACGGCAUCGUGUACAACGUCGUGUAAACAAUCUAGUUAUUGAAAACGAAGCUUGUGGUAAUGAUCAUUA
rnacentral:ncRNA from 1 species